rnacentral:rRNA from 1 species
CCUACGGGUCGCUGCAGUGGGGAAUAUUGGACAAUGGGCGAAAGCCUGAUCCAGCCAUGCCGCGUGUGUGAAGAAGGCCUUCGGGUUGUAAAGCACUUUCAGUGGGGAAGAAAGCCUUGGGGCUAAUACCCUCGAGGAAGGACAUCACCCACAGAAGAAGCACCGGCUAACUCCGUGCCAGCAGCCGCGGUAAUACGGAGGGUGCGAGCGUUAAUCGGAAUUACUGGGCGUAAAGCGCGCGUAGGCGGUCUGAUAAGCCGGUUGUGAAAGCCCCGGGCUCAACCUGGGAACGGCAUCCGGAACUGUCAGGCUAGAGUGCAGGAGAGGAAGGUAGAAUUCCCGGUGUAGCGGUGAAAUGCGUAGAGAUCGGGAGGAAUACCAGUGGCGAAGGCGGCCUUCUGGACUGACACUGACGCUGAGGUGCGAAAGCGUGGGUAGCAAACAGGAUUAGAUACCCCUGUAGUC